UUCAACAAAGUCGAUGAUUUUUCCGAUUGUUCGUCACCAAACCCUGAUUUUAGUCCCGCAGGAAAUUUGUGAGCCGAGCUGAAAACAAGCCUGACCCAGUUAAACCAGUUCUGCCAGGAGGAACAGGGCCAAUUGCUGUAAACUAUCACGAUUUUGCUAAUCUAAGCCGACCUGAAACAUGAACAUUUUGGUUUGAAUUAAUUUUAAGGAAGUGAGAAAGGUGACUAUAUCUCUUUAACACAUUUUAAUUUUACAUCUGGUUUUAACCGUAUGUCUAUGACUGUUCUUCUUUAAAGACGAGGAAACCACCAGACGGAUACAAACAACUUCAUACAUGGGUCUAAUUGUUGUAACUGGACUUGUCAUGGUUUUCAUCGGCGCAACUAGAGUCAUUCUGGGAUUUGUCUACAGAGAUAUUUCUCCUGGAAACCGACUGGAAGCCCUGACCAGGCAUGAACUGAGCAGCACAGUAUUAUACAAGGAAGCAGUGAAGGCUGAGCCGGACCACUUCAGACAGGAAGAGGCGGAGCUUUAUUCUAAAGCCAAAAUGGUCUUUUGUCAAACUAGAAAUGAAUAAAACAUGCUUGAAAGAGUUUAUACAGAUUAAGAGAGGAUUUCACCUCCUUCACGUGAGCAAUGUUUGUCUCAAGAUUUUAAAAAAAGUGCUGUUUAAAAGUUAGUUUGUGAAGUUACUUCACUAUGUAGUUUAUAACUCAGUUUUCUCAUGUUACACAGAUAUUUUUUCACCUUCAGGUGUUAAUGAAUUUCAUUAAACUGAACAUAGGCUUUAAUGUCAUACUAUUUGGGCAGUGAAAUUAUUCUUUUUACUGGUGUUUGUUCAGCCUUGAAUGGUUAUACAAUAUCCAACCUUGAUGAAUUUCUAAAAUGAGAAAUGGUAGGCAGUUUAAUUUUUAUUUAGGAGCUUUAAUUGUUCUAAGCUCCACUGGGUCAAAAACAUUUGUAGAGGCUUGAACUUAUACAGACACUUAAUCAAUAUUUGGGUAAAUGUCUCAUAGCAAGUUGCAUCUGGUAAAUAUUUCCUUAACCAUCAGCAGGUUUCAGGUUGACAUCUGCCUGGAUGUUUUUGUUGGAGAACUGGAAGCUAUUGGUUUCCUUCAUGGGCCAUGUAGUCCUCUCUGCCUAAUUAAAAGCUUAAUUUGGUAAAACAUA